UACGAAGGGGGCUAGCGUUGUUCGGAAUUACUGGGCGUAAAGCGUGCGCAGGCGGCUCAUCAAGUCAGAGGUGAAAGCCCUGGGCUCAACCCGGGAACUGCCCUUGAAACUACAUGUCUUGAGUACGGGAGAGGGUGGCGGAAUACCCAGUGUAGAGGUGAAAUUCGUAGAUAUUGGGUAGAACACCAGUGGCGAAGGCGGCCACCUGGCCCGUAACUGACGCUGAGGCGCGAAAGCGUGGGGAGCAAACAGG
rnacentral:rRNA from 1 species